UACGGGGGGGGCAAGCGUUGUUCGGAAUUACUGGGCGUAAAGGGCUCGUAGGCGGCCAACUAAGUCAGACGUGAAAUCCCUCGGCUUAACCGGGGAACUGCGUCUGAUACUGGCGAGCUCGAGGGAGGUAGGGGCGGACGGAACUUCCGGUGGAGCGGUGAAAUGCGUUGAUAUCGGAAGGAACGCCGGUGGCGAAAGCGGUCCGCUGGCCCUCUACUGACGCUGAGGCGCGAAAGCUGGGGGAGCGAACAGG
rnacentral:rRNA from 1 species